GCGCCUGUAGCUCAGCUGGAUAGAGCAACAGCCUUCUAAGCUGUGGGCCAUGGGUUCGAUUCCCGUCAGGCGCA
rnacentral:tRNA from 1 species